GACGAACGCUGGCGGCGUGCCUAAUACAUGCAAGUCGAACGGUCUUUUCUAUGGAAGCUUGCUUCCACUGAGAAGAUAGUGGCGAACGGGUGAGUAACACGUGGGUAACCUGCCCAUAAGAGGGGGAUAACAUCCGGAAACGGGUGCUCAUACCGCAUAGUUUUCUUGAUCGCAUGAUCGAGAAAGGAAAGACGGCCUUUGUGCUGUCGCUUAUGGAUGGACCCGCGGCGUAUUAGUUAGUUGGUGAGGUACGGCUCACCAAGACGAUGAUACGUAGCCGACCUGAGAGGGUGAUCGGCCACAUUGGGACUGAGACACGGCCCAAACUCCUACGGGAGGCAGCAGUAGGGAAUCUUCCGCAAUGGACGAAAGUCUGACGGAGCAACGCCGCGUGAGUGAAGAAGGUUUUCGGAUCGUAAAACUCUGUUGUCAGAGAAGAACAAGUCGGAGAGUAACUGCUCCGACCUUGACGGUAUCUGACCAGAAAGCCACGGCUAACUACGUGCCAGCCGCCGCGGUAAGAC
rnacentral:rRNA from 1 species